GGUCACUUCAGGAAAACCUGAUAAAAUUGAAUCACACAGUGAAGAUUAGCACAGGCCCCGUGCAAGGAUGACCCACACAAAUCAAGAAAUGGUCCUUGUACAU